GCCUUCCACGCCUUCCCGGAGUCUCCGAGCGCACGCGCCACCUGACUAGCGCGGUCAUUGGCUGCUGCCUGUUGCUAACCCACGUGACCGGCGCCAGCGCGCUCCGCCCCUGCCCCUGCUAGCCUAGUGCUUUCCUGCGGACGUGCGCUGCUGCCCAGCCUCAGGCUCCAGUCCUGCGCUGGCUGCUGCUGGCUGUCGUCAGCGAUGCCGCCGCCGGCCACAAGGUGGCAGUGCCGUGCUGCGUGGCUACACGCCCCUGGAAGCACCGGACCAGCCUUGGUCUGGCAAAAGUUUUCCAGUCUUUCCAGCAGAUGCGCCCAGGCCGUGAGCCCUCCCGGGCGGCCUGGAGGCAAGGGAUCGGGUGGGGGUGGGGUAGCCGCCGAUGUCCUGGGUGGCUUUGGGGGCGAUUUGCAAAGGCAUGCAUUUGUUGUUAAGAGCUCGGAGAAACAGUUUGGGGGAGCCUGUCACAGAUGCAAAGUCUGUUGAUAUUUCCAGGAGUGUUUGGUUUGGUUUGGGCUUUAGGGACCUACAGCAAGCAUCGAUUCUCGUGGAGGCGAACAACACUGACAGCUACUCUUUGUCUCUCGUCGGGAUUCUGAACAGAGCCCGACGUCGCUUCCAUUUCAGAGAUAUAUGCCGCUGACACUACCUUGAGAGAGCUCCUGCCUCCAUGGUUCCUGACCUGCCUAGAAGGGGAGGGCGCAGGAGACUCUUGUUCUACAGCUGUCCUCGGGAUGCCCUCAAUUCCCAGGCGCAGGGAUAAGCUUGUCUGACCCCAUUUGACCCCGCCGCAGGCGCCAGGCGUCCUCAUUUAUUGCGAGGCCUAAGAGUCCUCAAGGCUUACUGCCUGCCUACCCCCCUCCCCCACCACCCGCCGCUCUUCGUUUUUUGGUGUUUUGUUUUGUUUUGUUUUGUUUUUCCUCUCCUUGUCCUGUGCGGGAAUCAUAUGCCUCCUUCCUGUUGUCUAAGCUCCCCUCUUCCGUAGGCACAAACCUGCCCCCUCUGCGUUUUUUACCUUAAAACAGGUGUUCUGAGGAUUGUCUCUAGUUCUGGCGACGUCUUGAAAGAACUGAGUCUGAGCGAGGCAGACAGACGGCAGCAUUAGUGGUGAUGGAGCUGCACUGCUAAAUGUGGAGAUGGGAGGGGAAACACACCUGGGCUUCCACAGGGCAGGAGAAGAUCUGUCACUUGGGCAGAGCCUUUGAGUCGCACUCAGGUGAUCUCCAGGUCUACACUCUCCCACCUGUGCUCCGAGGAGAGGUGUAGACUAUCUCUUGGAUUUUGCUUGGAGGAUGUCCUUUCCGGACUCAGGACCUAGGAGAGACCAGCAGGAAACAGAACAGAGUCUACAUAGGCAACAGACUGGGACAAAAGGCCUGAGUCACAGACCAGUGAUUGGCAAAACAGAGAAGCUGAAGCAACUGUACAGCAAGCAGGAGCUCACACACGGGAGCCUACCUCUGGGAAUGCCGAGAAGUCAAUGCAAUGGUCACAUCUCAGGUUGUCUGGACACACAGACGGUUCACAAAUCCCGGGAUGGACCAGGAAGGCCAUUCAGUGAGAUUGUGUUGAACUGGGGAGUGGUGACAGUAAACAUUGACAUUAUGGUCCUACAUACAUAUCAUACGUUCCAUUAGUGUCCUACAUAAGUUAUAACCUGCUUACUCCUCCCAGUGCCCUUGAGAGAUCAGCCUGCUAAUUCCCACUCCAGAGUCAGGGAAGCUAAGUGCUGGGGACUCAGGAAACUUGACUGCGUUUAUAGCCAGUGAGUGGCAAAGCUGAUGUUUGAAUCCGUGUUUCGUGUUUCAGAGUCUUGGGAAGCUACGGUUUUUGUCCAUGGUGAGUCCUUGUUCUAUUCUUGACCAAACCUGGCCCAACUUUCAGGCCCUACUCCAUCACGCAGUUUCCUGUCUACAGUGUCCCCUGCUUCACUGUGUUUCAGGGGCUGAGUUGCUACACCACCCUAGAUGGUGGGCUGAGGGGCCUCUUCUGAUGAACUCCCUUCAGAAUGCAUUCCCUUCACAUCUGUUACCUCUUGCGGUGUGGGUCGCUGCUCUGUGGAAGUUGGACAGAACCCUUGGAACCUCCCGUGUGAUUCUGAAGUCUAGUGCAAACUCCAGUCAGUAAACUAAGAGAAACCAUUUUUAGUCAAAGGAAGCAAGGAACACUCCAACCAGCCCAGACUGACUUUCUUCUGUGGUUAAAAAUCUGGAUCUCCAUGUAAUUGCAACUGGGAAGAUCCUGCUGGAAGAUGUGCCAAGGUAGCCCCACAUGUUCCAAAGGGAUCGAAACUCAUUUGGAAGGGUAUGUUCUGAGAGAGAGAGAGAGAGAGAGAGAGAGAGAGAGAGAGAGAGAGAAGAAGAAGAAGAAGAAGAAGAAGAAGAAGAAGAAGAAGAAGAAGAAGAAGAAGAAGAAGAAGAAGAAGGAAGAACAACAAGAACAACAAGGAAGAAGAAGGAGAAGAAGGAGAAGGAGGAGAAGAAGGAGGAGGAGGAGGAGGAGGAAGAAGGAGAAGAGAGAGAAUUUCUUCUACUACUUCUUUAUAUUUAUGUAUUUAUUCUCUUUUGCACUUAGUGUGUAACUUGGUGCCUUACAUAAACCAUGGAAUAAUUAGGCUUUCUUCAGGAUGUAAGGAAAUUCCCUACAUCAGAGGACCUUACUAUCCAAGCUAAGGUAAGAAUGAAGUCCCAGCCGCAAGGGUGAUGGAAGGGAGACGAUGAAGAUAACAUAUGGUGGGAACAUCUCCAGGGAUGAUGGGAGAUACGGCUACAAAUGCUGCAUCCUAGGAGGAUGAAUUCUUUUCCUGUCUGCCAGUGAUCUCAGUUUUGUCAAUCAUUUCCAUGUACCCUCCCACUUCCUACAACUGCACUUAAGCCUUAGAAGAAAUAGGACAGGCAGUCUGGACAACGAGUGACACCAGGGAGUCCCUAGGUGUGUAUUUCCUUGUAUGUCUCUGUAAGUGUGGUCCCCAGCAUCCUAAUGGUUUGAUUUUGGCAGUAACUGGCUUUCUUAGGCACACCACCACUGUCGUUGUGGCAUGCUCACUAAACAUGGACUCCCUGUUCUUUGCUAAUCAAAUCUACCUGUAUACUCAGAAAUGCCACGAGUAGUCUAAGGCAGGCAUUGGCUAUGCCUACCUGUCACCUCUUUGGGAAAAAUAAAGUUUUAUUAGAACACAGGCAUGUGUAUGUUUUCCUAUUGUCUAUGGCUAUGUUCAUGCUGUGAGAGCAGAAUUGAGACUACAUGGAUACAAAAAGUAAACUAUUAAUUAAUUGGUCUUUUACGGAAAACAUUUUUAGAUCUUUGAUCCAGAGCAUCCAUAGACAUUUUAUUUCCCUAUACCAAGUCAGUGUUAGACACGUAAAUACUUUGACCAUGGAAAUAAAAGGUAAAUUUGCUGGAAAUAUCUGAGAAAAAAAUCUUUUUUCUUAAUAAGAAAGGGGAAUGUGAGAAGAGAGCUUACUUUACAUCCUGUCAUGUGAGGACUUGAUGUCUGGAGCUGUGGCAGCCAUAUUAUGAUCAUGAGGGGGAAAAAAAAACCCACACAAACCUGAUUCUCCAAUAAUAUCAUGUAACGAGGCAAAGAAACCCGAGUGAGUGUGAAUUGUAUGUCACGGGCAUGGCCACAUCAAGGACUAGUGUCUCACACUCAUGGGAAUGGCAAAGGCUUCACCUAACUUCUGGGGUGCCAUCCUCAGAGGUAUGGCAGAGCCGGCCCCCUGAUCUGAGUGUGCAUGUUGACAGUGUGUCCAAGUGCAAAUGUUUACAAAUGAUGGCCAUUUCGUCCUCCCAGAUGUUUGUAGCUGGAGCCUACUCACCUACAGAGACCUCCUACAGAGGGGCUCUGCCCUGGCCUUUUGGGAUUCAGAGCUGAGGCGGGACACAGAGUUCGACAAAGCCAGAAGACUGAUAAUCUCAGACCUAACUGUACUGGGAGCUGGGAGCUGGGAGCUGUUGGCUUCAGGAAACUUAACCCUCUCUUGUUUAUUCUAUGGCCGAAAACUGCUGACUUCUUUUCGCUUUAACUCUGUGCUCUGGAGAAACUUAACUCUUUGUGCUUAAAUAAGCACUGGGGGUCACUUAACUCUUUGUUACUAUUCUGUGCUUUAAUAAACGCUGAGCAUUCUUCAACUCUCUUA
rnacentral:lncRNA from 1 species